rnacentral:rRNA from 1 species
AUGGACGCAAGUCUGAACCAGCCAUGCCGCGUGGAGGAUGAAGGUCCUCUGGAUUGUAAACUUCUUUUAUUUGGGAAGAAACCCACGAUUUCUAUUGUGGUUGACGGUACCAGAUGAAUAAGCACCGGCUAACUCCGUGCCAGCAGCCGCGGUAAUACGGAGGGUGCAAGCGUUAUCCGGAUUCACUGGGUUUAAAGGGUGCGUAGGCGGGCAGGUAAGUCAGUGGUGAAAUCUCCGGGCUUAACCCGGAAACUGCCGUUGAUACUAUUUGUCUUGAAUGUCGUGGAGGUGAGCGGAAUAUGUCAUGUAGCGGUGAAAUGCUUAGAUAUGACAUAGAACACCCAUUGCGAAGGCAGCUCACUACACGAUGAUUGACGCUGAGGCACGAAAGCGUGGGGAUCAAACAGGAUUAGAUACCCUGGUAGUCCACGCCCUAAACGAUGAUUACUCGACAUCAGCGAUAAACUGUUGGUGUCUGAGCGAAAGCAUUAAGUAAUCCACCUGGGAAGUAC